rnacentral:lncRNA from 1 species
UGUAGAUUAAACAAUAUUGGACACAAAGUAAGUUAGCAAAAACUAUUUAUUUACCAGGUCAUACGCGUACUUAUAUUUCAUCAUUAUAUCAAAAAUGUUAAAAGGACUCUGGCUGUUCGGCUUAUACGAUAUCAAUCAAUGCAGUUGAAAGGGCGACUUGUGGCAAGUAUUGCAAACAUACAAAUGGUGACAACAUGUAAAUUAAGGCAACAUUUAUUUACCGAUUUACCGAUGUUCAAAGAUGUAUAUCACUUAAAGAAUUUCUAUGUCAUUUUGUGUCCGGCUGAUUCGUAUCAAUAGAAAUCUUAUCAUAUUCUCUUUAUACUAUAAAGAAAAUAAAAGGGAACCAUAGUAAAGAAAUUCAAUAAUACUCAAUUAAAUUGGUCUAAAGGUGAAUAAACGGUUUAGUCUUAGUUGCAUGAUUUUUUUUUAUUAGUUGUUAGUGGCUUUGAACUAGCUGUCAGAUAACUGCGAGUACUCUCAGAUCUGUUCAUUGUGUCUUUUUGUGUCGGGAUGUAUAAUUACUGUGCCACGUCCAAUUUUAUUUUUGUCCAUCUGAUGAGUUAAGCCUUUUUCAACUGAUUUUUAUAUGUUCUUAUGUUGUACUGUUAUACCACUGCCCCAGGUUAGGGGGAGGGUUGGGAUCCCGCUAACAUGUUUAACCCCGCCACAUUAUUUAUGUAUGUGCCUGUCCCAAGUCAGGAGCCUGUAAUUCAGUGGUUGUCGUUUGUUUAUGUGUUACAUAUUUGUUUUCCGUUCAUUUGUUUUUUACAUAAAUAAGGCCGUUAGUUUUCUCGUUUGAAUUGUUUUACAUUGUCCUAUCGGGGCCUUUUAUAGCUGACUAUGCGGUAUGGGCUUUGCUCAUUGUUGAAGUCCGCACGGUGACCUAUAGUUGUUGGUGUCUGUGUCAUUUUGGUCUUUUGUGGAUAGUUGUCUCAUUGGCACUCAUACCACAUCUUCUUUUUUAUAUAACGCCAUGGAUAAAAAAAGAAAAAGACUGACAGAGAAACAACAGCACUUAAGACACAACACAGAAAAAUAAAGACUAAGCAACACGAUCCCAACCAAAAACUGGGGAUUAUCUCAGGUAAAAUGCUUAAAGACAGCUUAACUCUGCAAUUUUGUAAGAUUUUGGCAUAUUUUUAUAUUUAUAUAUUAAAGUAUGAUACGAACAUUCUUAGCAAAAUUUAAUUAAAGCUUUGUAUUGUGUUUUAAUACAAAUUGUUUCAUUUUGGAUAAAGGCGUUUAAAUGUAUUUAACUUCAAAAACGUUUUUGUUGUUCAACUUCCUGUAGCUUUGAACAACUUUCUGUUUAAAAUCAUAUGAAAGUAAAACAGGGAAAUAUACCCUUCCUCUUUGUACUAGAUCGUUUCACAAUGUUGACUUGUUAAAAAUCUUGUUAUCAAGGUUUAUUGCGGAUGCAUCUUAGCUUUUUUUUACUGUUUAAAUUGUUUUACAUGGUCAUAUCAGGGUAUUUUGUGGCAUUUCUAUGUCAUUUUGUCUCCGGCAGAUUCGUAUCAAUAGAAAUCUUAUCAUAUUCUCUUUAUACUAUAAAGAAAAUAAAAGGGAACCAUGGUAAAGAAAUUCAAUAAAACUCAAUUAAAUUGGUCUAAAGGUGAAUAAACGGUUACUGACAUACAAGUAUUCGUCAUACAUGGUGUCAACCCCUAAUUCAUACAGCCUACAAAUCACACUUCCAAAUCAAUCCAUCAAGACAUUGCAAAUGUUGUGUUUUAUUCACUCUCGCUUGUCUAGGGUAUUUUUUGUUGUUGCUAUUUUUGUCAAAUAAACUGUUGACACAGAGAUGUGUCGCGCUUUUAUAUAUUUGAUAGUAUAAUGCAAAUGAUGAAAUCAAAAUGGCAAUACAUUAACAUUUAAAAUUAUGAAAAACAUUCAAGUUCAAUUAACCAUGAAUGAAAUGACAAGUUUAAUAUACGUGCCCAUUAGCUUAUGGUCAAUUCUAUUCUAAUCUUAUAAAGAAUUUUAAAACAACAAUUAAAACAAACAACAUUUAUAACCUAAAUUUCUCAGUCGGAGCUCAGGUAUAUAAAUGAAUUAAUGAAUAUUUUGAUAUAGAAGUGCAACCUGAAUUAUAACAAACAAUUACAUCUAUAUAUAUUAGUAAUUUUCAGCCAGCCAAAUAGGCUUAUGAUGCACUGUACAUUGUUUAUCAUUAUUGAAAAUAAAUGUAUGUAAGGCUAAGUCAUCUCUACGCCAAAACAACUGAAUAAAACUGGUUGCAAAUACAACAAUAUUUUAAACAUCUAGAUUAAUGCAAAUUAAGCCCCGAACAAAAUACUAGUAUUAUAAAUCAUAUUACAUAAACUGUUAUAUAACGGAACUAGAUAUUGCCAUUUUAUUUGUAAAAUCAACAUAUACCCACAACAUUUACAAAAGAGGAAAUCCUAAACAAUGGCAUGUCUGCUCUAUGUACCGUUGGAAAUUCGACAAAGUAUGAAGAAACUUCUGUCACUGAACUGGAUACCAAAAAUUCAUAGGUGUCUUUGCAAGUAACGUUAUAUUGCUGGUGUUAUCAAGUUCUCAACGAAAUUUUGUCUAUCCUAGCUUCAAAGAGUAUAUAAAUCUAAGUAUUUCCCCUUUUGUAAUAAUAUGAAAAUAUUUGACUUCUCUACUUUUCACCCAAGUAUUUUACAUUCAUAACUUACAGAGUUAGUGAAUAGUCAAAUGUUGUUUCAUUGUUGGUUUAUGGAUUACUGGUAUAAAUGUCUUAAUUUAGAAAAGGAUAAAUCAAACUUUGUUAUCAAAUUUCCUUUCUGAAACUGACGUCAUUAAGAUUCUUGAUUUGUAUUUGAUAUUCAUAUUUGUUACUUUUUGAGAACGUAUUUUUCAACAAAUAAUUGACAUCUCUAUCUAAACCAUCUGUAUUCCUCUUGUUGUCGACAUUAUCCUUCAUUGAAGCGAGACAGAUUUCAAAUAUGAGUUUCAAAACUGAAAAUGAGCUACCAUAACCUUUACUUCACGUUCAGCUAUCAAAAUGAUGUUAACUUACUAAAUAAUUCAAAUUCAAUGACUAUUCUAGUCACAUCUAUCCGAUCGACCUUGAAUUAAAGGAUACUACCCAUACAGUUCAGUCUGCUUCGUAUCCUGACUUUCAUCUAGCAUCUCAAAAUAAGGGCACAUUGGUAACAAAACUUUACGACAAAAGGUAUGAUUCCAGCUUCCCAAGUGAGAACUUUCCAUUCCUAUGUAACGAAAUUCCAGCAGCUCAUACAUAUAUAUAUAUCUCCAAGUUUAUGCAAUAUUUCAGGGUUUGCGUUUCUUAUCAUGAUUUACUUGAUAGGAGGUACCUGUUUACAAAAAAGGCUAUUUGACUAAGGGAUCGAAUUUAUUUAGUAUAGGUCACAGAUAACCACUUGUAAGUUCUGAUGAUUAUGUUCACAAUCCCCUUAUCUUGCACUCGAACUUGACGUCACCAACUGAGAUUUAUUACCAAUUAAUACUUGCAAUGAGCAACAUGACGGGUGCAACAUAUAUCAAAUGUUUGUUCAGAUUCGUAUAACUUGGUCUUUAUAUACCUAUGAAAUGUUGUGUAAGCAUUCUUUUCGACUUUCGUUUUUUACCAUGGCGGUCAGUUAUACUUCGAUUUUUAAGUUUUUAAUAUCACCUUGAUAUAUUCUGUCUCUCUAAUCCGUCUUUUAUAUAUGUAUAUACUAAAUCAAAUAUGAAAAGGAACGGAAAAAUAGUUCAGCUUUCUUUAAUUUUGUAGUUCAUUGUAUAUUUAUAGGUGGUAACUAGAUCUUCAAAAUGAAUAAAGCCAAAGACUGGUGUAGAGCAAUAUUUAUUCUUCCGCUGACAGCGGGGAACUGCAAAAAGGAAACCCACCAAACUUCAAUUUCCCAUGACGGAAGUAUUGCUGGAAUAAUCGUGCUAACCAGUUUAGUAGUCAUGCUAGCUGAAAUAAUGUACAUUUGCAACACCUUUGAGCAAAAAAGCAGAACAGCACCCGAAAUAUCCAGACCACUUCUGAUUGUACUAAACUGUCUCGGAAUUUUGUCCUGUAUCUCAGUUGGGAUUCGAGAACAAAUCAAAAAGAGAUAUAUAUUAGAUACUGACACUCAUGAUAAAAGCAAAUCCCUUAAGUUAAAAUUUUUAUGUUUAUUUUGUUUUGGCUGUGUAGUAUAUCGUAUCCUGAAGAUAGCUUUCCAUGUUGAAUGCAAGGUGUUUGUCCGU